GAUGAACGCUGGCGGCGUGCCUAAUACAUGCAAGUCGAGCGAACAGACGAGGAGCUUGCUCCUCUGACGUUAGCGGCGGACGGGUGAGUAACACGUGGAUAACCUACCUAUAAGACUGGGAUAACUUCGGGAAACCGGAGCUAAUACCGGAUAACAUGUUGAACCGCAUGGUUCAACAGUGAAAGACGGUCUUGCUGUCACUUAUAGAUGGAUCCGCGCCGCAUUAGCUAGUUGGUAAGGUAACGGCUUACCAAGGCAACGAUGCGUAGCCGACCUGAGAGGGUGAUCGGCCACAAUGGAACUGAGACACGGUCCAGACUCCUACGGGAGGCAGCAGUAGGGAAUCUUCCGCAAUGGGCGAAAGCCUGACGGAGCAACGCCGCGUGAGUGAAGAAGGUCUUCGGAUCGUAAAACUCUGUUAUUAGGGAAGAACAAAUGUGUAAGUAACUAUGCACGUCUUGACGGUACCUAAUCAGAAAGCCACGGCUAACUACGUG
rnacentral:rRNA from 1 species